AUGCUUAAGAUUGACCUAGCUAAAGCUUUUGAUCGUCUAGAAUGGAAUUUCAUCGUCUCUGUGCUUACAGGUAUAGGGUUGCAUGGCCAUUUCAUAAAUUUGAUUUAUGCUUGCAUCUCCACACCAACUUUCUCUGUCAUCAUUAAUGGCCAGCCUUCUCGUAAAUUCAAGAACCAAAGAGGGAUUCGUCAGGGCUGCCCUUCGUCACCAUACUUGUUUGUCAUUGCUAUUAAUGAAUUGUCUCUUGCCCUUAAUGAUGCUUUGUCUGCUAAUCAUCUUCAGGGUAUAGUACUUGCUCCAAAUGUCCCUCCUAUUCACUCUCUUCUCUUUGGAGACGAUCUUUUGGUUUGUGGGCAGGCCACUUCUCAAGAAGCUUACUCUAUGUCAAAUCAUUCACCAUUUUUGUGCACUUUCAAGUCAAACCCCAAAUUGGUCGAAAUCUGCUAUUCAUUUUAG
rnacentral:rRNA from 1 species